rnacentral:rRNA from 1 species
AAUAGCGUAUAUUAAAGUUGUUGCAGUUAAAAAGCUCGUAGUUGGAUUUCUGGUUGAAGCGACCGGUCGGGCGUUGAUUCGUCUGCACUGGAGUCGGUUUUGGCCAUCCUCUAGGAAAGUGCGUCUGGUAUUAAGUUAUCGGGCGUAUGAUCCUGGUCUUUUACUGUGAAAAAAUUAGAGUGUUUAAAGCAGGCCUUCGCCUUGAAUACAUUAGCAUGGAAUAAUAAGAUAGGACUUUGGUCUAUUUUGUUGGUUUGCAGACCGAAGUAAUGAUUAAUAGGGAUAGUUGGGGGUAUUUAUAUUCCGAUGUCAGAGGUGAAAUUCUUAGAUUUUCGGAAGAUAAACUUAUGCGAAAGCAUUUACCAAGGAUGUUUUCAUUAA